ACGGAAACGGUCCGGGGCUGAGCUGCAGUCAGAUCCGGGGAUGGAGGGAGCCGGAGAAGAGGAGUGAGAAGGCCGGGGAGGCAGGCCCUGCUGUCUUCCUGCAGGCCGGCAGCCUGCUGGCAGUGGAGGACCAGGCCGUCCAGGAAAGGAAGGGGUCAGGAGGUCGGGCAGGGCCUCAGCAGGUUCAGACAAGUCCCCAGAAGGGAGCUGCAGGCGCCCUCGAGUCCAGGCCCCAAGCCUGGCUCCGGUUGUCCAAAGAGGGCCUAGGCCAGGCCUCUGGUGCGGAAACUGAGUCACAGCCAGACCUCAGGGCACGGCCUAGACGCUUACGAGCCAAAGUUAGGGGUAGAGAGCAGAGACCUCCGGGGGGUCUCAGGGAGUAGGGGGCUUCAGGGCCUCCCAGUCUAGAGCCGGAUUGGCGAGUUAGACGCUUGUAGAUCCAAGGUUGGAUUGGGGUGGGGUCUCUGGGACGUUGGAUCGCUACGCAAGGAUUGGGGGGAUUCAAGUGCUUAGAGAUCGAAGUCUGCCCUGGGUAGGGGGAGUCAGACAAUUGGAAAGCCUAGGUAGUUAUUUGGGGAGGGGUCUCUACGCCUUGGCGAAGCGCACAGCUGCAUCUUUUUGGCUUGAGGCCUGAGGCCUUGUCGAGAAGCUUCCGUGAAAGGGUGGGCCAGCCGGGCCACGAGAAAGAAAGUGAAUAAAUCAGGAAUAUAAGUGGGCGGGGGGCCCCUGAGAGGGGGGUCGCAAAGGGUGAGACAUGGCCACCAGGCGUUUAACCGACGCUUUCUUGUUGUUGCGGAAUAAUUCCAUCCAAAACCGGCAGCUGUUAGCCGAGCAAGUGAGUAGUCACAUCACCUCCAGCCCUCUGCAUUCACGUAGCAUUGCUGCGGAGCUGGACGAGCUUGCUGAUGACCGUAUGGCACUGGUGUCAGGCAUCAGCUUAGAUCCAGAAGCAGCGAUUGGUGUGACAAAACGGCCACCUCCUAAGUGGGUGGAUGGAGUGGAUGAAAUUCAGUAUGAUGUUGGCCGGAUUAAGCAGAAGAUGAAAGAAUUGGCCAGCCUUCAUGACAAGCAUUUAAACAGACCCACCCUGGAUGACAGCAGCGAAGAGGAACAUGCCAUUGAGAUAACUACCCAAGAGAUCACUCAGCUCUUCCACAGGUGCCAGCGUGCCGUGCAGGCCCUGCCGAGCCGGGCCCGGGCCUGCUCCGAGCAGGAGGGGCGGCUGCUUGGGAACGUGGUGGCCUCGCUGGCGCAGGCCCUGCAGGAACUCUCCACCAGCUUCCGGCACGCACAGUCAGGCUACCUCAAACGCAUGAAGAAUCGAGAGGAAAGAUCCCAGCAUUUUUUCGACACAUCAGUACCACUAAUGGAUGAUGGAGACGAUAACACUCUUUACCAUCGGGGUUUUACAGAGGACCAGUUAGUUCUGGUGGAGCAGAACACACUGAUGGUGGAAGAGCGGGAACGAGAGAUUCGCCAGAUUGUACAGUCCAUUUCUGACCUGAAUGAAAUAUUCAGGGACUUAGGGGCGAUGAUUGUAGAACAGGGUACAGUCCUUGACAGAAUUGACUAUAACGUUGAACAGUCCUGUAUCAAAACUGAAGAUGGUUUGAAACAGCUUCACAAGGACUUCUCCCACGUGGAAGGCCUUCUUUCUCAAUCUCUUCGCCUGUGGAAGUCCUAUUACAUCUGUCAGGGCAUGGCCUUAGUCUCUCACCCUCUAGGAAGAUCCUCCAGCUGUCUCAGUCCUCUGGAGUGCCGUGUGCCUGUCUGCAACGUAUUUGCAAACAGAAAAAAGAGUGAGAGAUCUUCAUACACACUUGCCUGCUCUGUGCCAGGAACUGGAGGAAAAAAAAACAACAAAAAGUCAAAAAGACCUGCCUUCAGGAUGCUGAAGCUCUAGUCUGUGGUGUUUCCAAGGGGCCAGGGACCAUGGCUCAGAGCUGAGCAGACAGACCUGGAGCCUGUGGACAGGGAAGGCUGGUUAUGAAGAAGAAACUCAAAAUAACAGGAGUGGCUUAUGGAACUACAUGGAGCUCUGGCAGGCUGCCCUGAGCACGCUCAACCCCAACCCCACGGACAGCUGUCCCCUCUACCUGAACUACGCCACCGUGGCUGCCCUGCCCUGCAGGGUGAGCCGGCACAACAGCCCCUCGGCCGCCCACUUCAUCACGCGGCUGGUGCGGACCUGCCUGCCGCCCGGAGCGCAUCGCUGCAUUGUGAUGGUCUGCGAGCAGCCGGAGGUCUUUGCUUCCGCCUGUGCCCUGGCCCGGGCCUUCCCGCUGUUCACCCACCGCUCAGGUGCCUCUCGGCGCUUGGAGAAGAAGACGGUCACCGUGGAGUUUUUCCUGGUGGGACAAGACAACGGGCCGGUGGAGGUGUCCACAUUGCAGUGCUUAGCGAAUGCCACAGACGGCGUGCGGCUAGCAGCCCGCAUCGUGGACACACCCUGCAAUGAGAUGAACACCGACACCUUCCUCGAGGAGAUUAACAAAGUUGGAAAGGAGCUGGGGAUCAUCCCAACCAUCAUCCGGGAUGAGGAACUGAAGACGAGAGGAUUUGGAGGAAUCUAUGGGGUUGGCAAAGCCGCCCUGCAUCCCCCAGCCCUGGCCGUCCUCAGCCACACCCCAGAUGGAGCCACGCAGACCAUCGCCUGGGUGGGCAAAGGCAUCGUCUAUGACACUGGAGGCCUCAGCAUCAAAGGGAAGAGGGCACGGAAACGAAUACAGUGGCUCCCGGACCUCUUUGGGACUGUGGCCUGAUACUCCAGCACAGGGGGUACUACCAUGCCGGGGAUGAAGCGAGACUGCGGGGGUGCUGCGGCCGUCCUGGGGGCCUUCAGAGCCGCAAUCAAGCAGGGUUUCAAAGACAACCUCCACGCUGUGUUCUGCUUGGCUGAGAACUCGGUGGGGCCCAAUGCGACAAGGCCAGAUGACAUCCACCUGCUGUACUCAGGGAAGACGGUGGAAAUCAACAACACGGAUGCCGAGGGCAGGCUGGUGCUGGCAGAUGGCGUGUCCUAUGCUUGCAAGGACCUGGGGGCCGACAUCAUCCUGGACAUGGCCACCCUGACCGGGGCUCAGGGCAUUGCCACAGGGAAGUACCACGCCGCGGUGCUCACCAACAGCGCUGAGUGGGAGGCCGCCUGUGUGAAGGCGGGCAGGAAGUGUGGGGACCUGGUGCACCCGCUGGUCUACUGCCCCGAGCUGCACUUCAGCGAGUUCACCUCAGCUGUGGCGGACAUGAAGAACUCAGUGGCGGACCGAGACAACAGCCCCAGCUCCUGUGCUGGCCUCUUCAUCGCCUCACACAUCGGCUUCGACUGGCCCGGAGUCUGGGUCCACCUGGACAUUGCUGCACCGGUGCAUGCUGGUGAGCGAGCCACAGGCUUCGGUGUGGCCCUCCUGCUGGCGCUCUUCGGCCGUGCCUCUGAGGACCCUCUGCUGAACCUGGUGUCCCCACUGGGCUGUGAGGUGGAUGUCGAGGAGGGGGACCUGGGGAGGGACUCCAAGAGACGCAGGCUUGUGUGAGCCUCCUGCCUCGGCCCUGACAAACGGGGAUCUUUUACCUCACUUUGCACUGAUUAAUUUUAAGCAAUUGAAAGAUUGCCCUUCAUAUGGGUUUUGGUUUGUCUUUCUGGUCGUCAGCGUGGUGGUGGAAACAGCUGAAGUUUUAGGAGACAGCUUAGGGUUUGGUGCGGGCCACGGGGAGGGGACCGGGAAGCGCUGGGGCUUGUUUCUGUUUGUUACUUACAGGACUGAGACAUCUUCUGUAAACUGCUACCCCUGGGGCCUUCUGCACCCCGGGGUGAGGCCUCCUGCCUGCCUGGUGCCCUGUCCCAGCCCCAGGUCCUGUGCAGGGCACCUGCGUGGCUGACAGCCAGGCUCUUACUCCAGCCGGGGCUGCCAGCGCAUCCAGCCAGCCCAGCCCUGUGAAAGAUGGAGCUGACUUGCUGCAGGGGACCUGAUUUAUAGGGCAAGAGAAGUCACACUCCGGCCUCUCAGAAUUCACUUGAGGUUCAAUUAAAUACAGUCACACCGCCCCCUCA
rnacentral:lncRNA from 1 species